rnacentral:rRNA from 1 species
AGAGUUUGAUCCUGGCUCAGGACGAACGCUGGCGGUGCGCUUAAUGCAUGCAAGUCGAACGGGCAAAGGGGCUUCGGCCUCGGCGCUAGUGGUAGACGGCUGAGUAACACGUAAGUGAUCUGCCCCGGAGAGGGGGAUAACCCGGAGAAAUCCGGCCUAAUACCCCAUACGUUCAUGUGGUUAUGGCCAUGUGAAGAAAGGUUUACGUCGCUCUGGGAGGAGCUUGCGGCCUAUCAGGUAGUUGGUGGGGUAAAGGCCUACCAAGCCGAAGACGGGUAACCGAUGUGAGAGCAUGAUCGGUCAGAGGGGGACUGAGACACGGCCCCCACUCCUACGGGAGGCAGCAGCAGGGAAUCUUGCGCAAUGGGCGAAAGCCUGACGCAGCGACACCGCGUGGGGGAAGAAGGCCUCAGGGUUGUAAACCCCUUUUCUGUGGGAAGAGAUAGGACGGUACCGCAGGAAUAAGCAUCGGCUAACUACGUGCCAGCAGCCGCGGUAAUACGUAGGAUGCAAGCGUUGUCCGGAUUUACUGGGCGUAAAGGGUGUGUAGGCGGCAUGGUAAGUCUCAUGUGAAAUCUCCCGGCUCAACUGGGAGGGGUCAUGGGAAACUGCCAAGCUUGAGGGCAGCAGAGGAAAGCGGAAUUCCGGGAGUAGUGGUGGAAUGCGUAGAUACCCGGAGGAACACCAGAGGCGAAGGCGGCUUUCUGGGCUGUGCCUGACGCUGAUACACGAAAGCGUGGGGAGCAAACCGGAUUAGAUACCCGGGUAGUCCACGCCCUAAACGAUGGAUACUAGAUAUAGGGGGUAUCGACCCCUCCUGUGUCGGAGUUAACGCGAUAAGUAUCCCGCCUGGGGAGUACGGCCGCAAGGCUAAAACUCAAAGGAAUUGACGGGUCCCCGCACAAGCGGCGGAGCGUGUGGUUUAAUUCGAUGAUAAGCGAAGAACCUUACCUGGGCUUGACAUGCAUUUGACAACCCAUGAAAAUGGGCUCUCCUUAGGGACAGAUGCACAGAUGUUGCAUGGCUGUCGUCAGCUCGUG